rnacentral:rRNA from 1 species
UAGUAACGCGUGGGAACGUGCCCUUCACUACGGAAUAGUCCCGGGAAACUGGGUUUAAUACCGUAUACGCCCUUCGGGGGAAAGAUUUAUCGGUGAAGGAUCGGCCCGCGUCUGAUUAGAUAGUUGGUGGGGUAACGGCCUACCAAGUCUACGAUCAGUAGCUGGUUUGAGAGGAUGAUCAGCAACACUGGGACUGAGACACGGCCCAGACUCCUACGGGAGGCAGCAGUGGGGAAUCUUAGACAAUGGGCGCAAGCCUGAUCUAGCCAUGCCGCGUGAGUGAUGAAGGCCUUAGGGUCGUAAAGCUCUUUCGCCAGGGAUGAUAAUGACAGUACCUGGUAAAGAAACCCCGGCUAACUCCGUGCCAGCAGCCGCGGUAAUACGGAGGGGGUUAGCGUUGUUCGGAAUUACUGGGCGUAAAGCGCGCGUAGGCGGAUUAGUCAGUCAGAGGUGAAAUCCCAGGGCUCAACCCUGGAACUGCCUUUGAUACUGCUAGUCUUGAGUUCGAGAGAGGUGAGUGGAAUUCCGAGUGUAGAGGUGAAAUUCGUAGAUAUUCGGAGGAACACCAGUGGCGAAGGCGGCUCACUGGCUCGAUACUGACGCUGAGGUGCGAAAGUGUGGGGAGCAAACAGGAUUAGAUACCCUGGUAGUCCACACCGU